UACGUAGGGUGCAAGCGUUGUCCGGAAUUAUUGGGCGUAAAGAGCUCGUAGGCGGUUUGUCGCGUCUGCUGUGAAAACCCGAGGCUCAACCUCGGGCCUGCAGUGGGUACGGGCAGGCUGGAGUUCGGUAGGGGAGACUGGAAUUCCUGGUGUAGCGGUGAAAUGCGCAGAUAUCAGGAGGAACACCGAUGGCGAAGGCAGCCCCCCUGGGCCAAUACUGACGCUCAUGCACGAAAGCGUGGGGAGCAAACAGG
rnacentral:rRNA from 1 species